UUUUAAAGUUCUUCAUCUUGAUUAUUCUUAUUGCUAGUUUUAGAUUGAUCAUCUAGAACUUGAUAUUAGAUAAUAGGUAUGUCCGCCAUAGGUACUUGUUAUUAGAA
rnacentral:sRNA from 1 species